rnacentral:lncRNA from 1 species
CUGCAACUAUAGUAAGGUUGUGGCCACCCCCAACCACCUUGACAUCCACCCUCCAGCUCUUCUGCUGGACCAAAGAGGUGGAGGCAGCAUUCACCCAUCUCCAGUCCUUGCUUAUCUCGGCCCCUAUUUGAGCCCAUCUGGACCCUGACCGCCAAUUCAUUGGAGAUGUUGACACCUUGGACAUCAAAGGACAGAUCCCAGUGAAACCAAGAAUGUAUUUAAGAUCUCAUCCCUCAAAACACACCUG